rnacentral:rRNA from 1 species
GACGAACGCUGGCGGCGUGCUUAACACAUGCCAGUCGAACGGAAAGGCCCAGCUUGCUGGGUCCUCGAGUGGUGACCGGGUGAGUAACACGUGGGUUAUCUGCCUUCCACUUUGGGAUAGGCCUGGGAACCUGGGUCUAAUUUCGGACAUGAUCUACUGUCGCAUGGUGGUUGGUGGCAAGCUUUUGCGGUUGUGGAUGGGUCCGCGGCUUCUCAGCUUGUUGGUGGGGUCAUGGCUUACCAAGGCGACGUCGGGUAGCCGACCUGUGAGGGUGAUCGGCCACACUGAGACGGAGACACGGCCCAGACUCCUACGGGAGGCAGCAGGGGGGAAUAUUGCACAAUGGGCGCGAGCCUGAUGCAGCGACCCCGCGUGAGGGAUGGCGGCCUUCGGGUUGGAAACCACUUUCUCCAGGGACGAAGCGUGAGUGACGUUACCUGAAGAAGAAGCACCGGCCAACUACGU